rnacentral:rRNA from 1 species
CCUACGGGAGGCAGCAGUGGGGAAUAUUGGGCAAUGGGCGCAAGCCUGACCCAGCAACGCCGCGUGAAGGAAGAAGGCUUUCGGGUUGUAAACUUCUUUUCUCAGGGACGAAGCAAGUGACGGUACCUGAGGAAUAAGCCACGGCUAACUACGUGCCAGCAGCCGCGGUAAUCCGUAGGUGGCAAGCGUUAUCCGGAUUUACUGGGUGUAAAGGGCGUGUAGGCGGGAAAGCAAGUCAGAUCUGAGAACCAUGGGCUCAACCUGUGGCCUGCAUUUGAAACUGUUUUUCUUGAGUACUGGUGAGACAGACGGAAUGCCUAGUGUAGCGGUGAAAUGCGUAGAUAUUAGGAGGAACACCAGUGGCGAAGGCGGUCUGCUGGACAGCAACUGACGCUGAGGCGCGAAAGCGUGGGGAGCAAACAGGAUUAGAUACCCCGGUAGUC